rnacentral:rRNA from 1 species
GAUGAACGCUGGCGGCGUGCCUAAUACAUGCAAGUCGAGCGAACGGACGAGAAGCUUGCUUCUCUGAUGUUAGCGGCGGACGGGUGAGUAACACGUGGAUAACCUACCUAUAAGACUGGGAUAACUUCGGGAAACCGUAGCUAAUACCGGAUAAUAUUUUGAACCGCAUGGUUCAAAAGUGAAAGACGGUCUUGCUGUCACUUAUAGAUGGAUCCGCGCUGCAUUAGCUAGUUGGUAAGGUAACGGCUUACCAAGGCAACGAUGCAUAGCCGACCUGAGAGGGUGAUCGGCCACACGGGAACUGAGACACGGUCCAGACUCCUACGGGAGGCAGCAGUAGGGAAUCUUCCGCAAUGGGCGAAAGCCUGACGGAGCAACGCCGCGGGAGUGAUGAAGGUCUUCGGAUCGUAAAACGCUGUUAUUAGGGAAGAACAUAUGUGUAAGUAACUGUGCACAUCUUGACGGUACAGAAUCAGAAAGCCACGGCUAACUACGU